rnacentral:rRNA from 1 species
UACGGAAGGCAGCAGUGGGGAAUAUUGCACAAUGGGCGAAAGCCUGAUGCAGCUAUGCCGCGUGUAUGAAGAAGGCCUUAGGGUUGUAAAGUACUUUCAUCGGGGAGGAAAAAAACAAAACUAAUAAUUUUAUUUCUUGACGUUACCCGAAAAAGAAGCACCGGCUAACUCCGUGCCAGCAGCCGCGGUAAUACGGAGGGUGCUAGCGUUAAUCAGAAUUACUGGGCGUAAAGAGCACGUAGGUGGUUUUUUUAAGUCAGAUGUGAAAUCCCUGGGCUUAACCUGGAACUGCAUUUUGAAACUGAAAUACUAGAGUAUCGUAGAGGGAGGUAGAAUUCUAGGUGUAGCGGUGAAAUGCGUAGAUAUCUGGAGGAAUACCUGUGGCGAAAGCGGCCUCCUAAACGAAUACUGACACUGAGGUGCGAAAGCGUGGGGAGCAAACAGGGAUUAGAUACC